AGGUGACAUUUAGUGAUGUGGCUAUAGACUUCUCUCAUGAAGAGUGGGCAUGCCUAGAUUCUGCUCAGAGGGACUUAUACAAGGAUGUGAUGGUCCAGAAUUAUGAGAACCUUGUCUCUGUAGGUCUUUCCAUAACUAAGCCAUAUGUGAUCACAUUGUUGGAGCAUGGGAAAGAGCCCUGGAUGGUGGAGAAAAAACUGUCAAAAGGUAUGAUUCCAGGUUGGGAAUCAAGAUGGGAAAACAAGGAAUUAUCAACAAAGAAGGAUAUUUAUAAGGAAGAUUCACUCCAAACAGUAACAAUAGAAAAAGUUUUAAAACAAAGUUAUGAAUUUUCAAAUUCUACCAAGAAUUUGGAACACAUAGAAAAGUUGGAAGGGAAGCCUGGAAUUCAUGUAGAACAUUUCAGACCAGCAACUCUCACCUCUAGAGAAAGCCCCACUGGGGACAGUUACAAAUAUGACACAUUUAGAAUCACCUUUCAUUCAAAGUCUACUCUUUCUGAACCAUAAAAAAAUUCUGCUAAAGGGAAUUCACACAAAUACAAUAUAUUAAAGAAGAAUUUACCAAAAAAGUCAGUUGUAAAAAAUGAGAGACUCAAUGGUGGAAAGAAACUCUUGAAUUCUAAUAAAAGUGGAGCAGCCGUUAACCAGAGCACCUCUCCUCACCACACUUAUAAUAGAGAAAGUCUAUACAUCUAGGGAAUGUGGGAAAGCCUUUGGCAAACAGUCAAUCCUCAAUCGCCACUGGAGAAUUCAUACAGGAGAGAAGCCCUGUGAAUGUCGUGAAUGUGGGAAGACUUUUAGCCACGGCUCAUCCCUUACACGACAUCAGAUAAGCCAUAGUGGAGAGAAACCUUACAAAUGUAUUGAAUGUGGGAAGGCCUUUAGCCAUGGCUCAUCACUUACUAACCAUCAGAGCACUCACACUGGAGAGAAACCAUAUGAAUGUAUGAACUGUGGAAAGUCUUUUAGGCGUGUGUCCCAUCUUAUUGAACAUCUAAGAAUUCAUACGCAAGAAAAACUCUAUGAGUGUCGUAUAUGUGGAAAGGCCUUCAUUCAUACGUCGUCUCUCAUUCACCAUCAGAAAAUCCAUACUGGAGAGAAGCCUUAUGAAUGUAGAGAAUGUGAGAAAGCUUUCUGCUGUAGCUCACACCUUACUCCACAUCAAAGAAUUCACACUAUGGAGAAACAAUAUGAAUGCAACAAAUGUCUGAAAGUCUUUAGUAGCCUCUCAUUUCUUGUUCAGCAUCAGAGUAUUCAUACUGAAGAAAAACCCUUUGAAUGUCAGAAAUGCAGGAAAUCCUUCAACCAGCUUGAAUCACUGAAUAUGCAUUUGAGAAAUCACAUUAGAUUGAAAUGUGAUUUCUAUCUAAUGAAUGCCAUAUAUGUGGGAAAGCCUUUAGUCAUAGGUCAUCCCUGCUUCAACAUCACAGAAUUCAUACUGGAGAGAAACCUUACGAAUGUAUUAAAUGUGGGAAGACCUUCAGCUGUAGUUCAAACCUUACCGUACAUCAGAGAAUUCAUACUGGAGAAAAGCCAUAUAAAUGUAGUGAGUGUGGGAAAGCUUUUAGCAAAGGCUCAAAUCUUACUGCCCAUCAAAGAGUACAUAAUGGAGAGAAACCCAAUAGUGUGGUAAGUGUGGAAAAGCCUUUAGACUAUAUGAAUCACUAUACAUGUGAGAAAUCUUACAGAAGAGAAUGUAUAUGAAGCAGUGUUUAUCAUGGUAAAGUUCAUUCAUAGAUCCUCAUUUAACAUCAGAAAAAAUUAUACUGGGGAAAAGUUUUAUGAAUGUAGUGAAUAUGGGAAGACUUUCAGCAAUGAUUCAGAUGUUUUUAUUUUUCAGAGUUUAUACUGUAGAGAAAUCAUAUGAAGACCAUAAAUGUGGGAAAGCCUUUGUCAGUAUUAACCCCUUAAUUGACAUAAGUAUACUCACACUAGGAUAAAACCCUGUACAUAUAGCAAAUGUGGGAAAGACUAUAGACAAUAGGAAUCUUUUACAAACUCCUACAGGAGAGAAGCUGUAUGAAUGUAGAAAAUUUAGAAAUUGAGGGAAGACUUCAGUUCCAAGUGCAUCCCUUAUUUUACAAAGAACUCAAACUGGAGAGAACUCUCAUUUAAGAGAUGUAGCCAAGUGUUCACUAAGAGUGUUUAUCUUGCUACACAUCAGAAGAUUAAUGGAAGAACAACCUGAAAGUUUUAGGAAUUACGUGUAAAUCUUUGCAGUGAUGCUAUUUGUAAACAGGGUUCUACAGGAGAGCAAAUAAAUGUCAUUAUGCAUUUCUUAGAGCAGUAGCUUGCAGUUUCAGUUGAGUUCUACUUAGAAAUUCUUUUUAGCUAGUGGGCAUGUGAAGAUAUUUAGUCACCCAGAGGAGCCAGUAAAUGUUAUAAUGUUAAAAAUUAAAGCUGCAAAAGAAAUAAAAUGGUGUGAAUAAAGGUUUUGGUAUCUAAUAAAAUCAUUUUGUAUCUCA